GGUGGGGUGGCUGAGCGGUUGAAAGCACCAGUUUUGAAAACUGGCGUGCCGGCAACGGUACCGUGAGUUCGAAUCUCACCCCCACCGCCA
rnacentral:tRNA from 1 species